GGAAAUGUGGAAGGAAAGAUAAGAAGAGGGUGAUUAGCAGCAAGGUGGAUGGAUUCAAUUACAGUGGUGAUGGAUGUACAACUGGAAGAGUUGAAAGGCCAGAUCGUUAUGGAGAAGGUGUAUGCAAGCUGUCUGGAGCAAAGGUAGAAGAACUACAGUACCAGGAAGUAGGACUUCAUUGUACAAAGAGCACCGAUUUCCAUCCUAAGGAAGGAACUACUGCUUUGACAAAGACCAAGGCCAGCUGUUGCUGGAUUCAUGUCUUCUCCCUUGCAGGAGUUAAAAAACUGAUUGCCUUAUCUGCAAAAGUUAUGUUGUCUGGAAUCACUGGGCUACUUACUGGCACUGCUGGUAGACGUGCCCGUUGUCCAUUCUAGAACUGACUGUCUGACUGCCUCGGGCUGAAAUAGUCACAAAGCCUUUGCAUCAGCACCCAUAAAUUCCUGGGUUUCUUUAUCAGUGAGGUGCCUGCUAUUGGGGGAAAAAUCCUGCAACAUCAACCUGUGAAUGGAAAGGACAAGAAGAGAAGAGCUGAUUCCAGAGGUAAACUAAUCCAGAUUUUUGGAGGAAGAGAAGGCCAUGCUGAACAGACAAUGGUGACCAUGCACUCCAGUAUAUUUGGAGGGUACUAGACUUCAUAUUGCUAAGCCAGAGGGUUCUAUAUUAGGCCAUGCCCAGUGAUAUUACUUGGCAGUGGUACAUCCUUCUACAGUCUGGACACACUCAUGUUGUAUGGAAUUCACCAGCGGGCAUGACCAAUGACCAUUGCUGAAAAUUGUGUGGCUUAAAGUCCAUAUAUCAGAAACAAACCAAUAUAUAAUAUCAAAGGAACAUGUACGUUGAAGACAUGUCCAUUCAAGUGAGAAUUUGAAAGAUACUGCUAUUCGUGUGGCCAGAUAUAGAAGAAGGCAGGAAAAGAGAUCUUUUGCAUCUUUGAUAGCAGGAAAUUCAGCAGAUCUGGUUUGCAUGCUAAGCAAUACCUGGAGAAAUUCCCUUUUUGAUGCAGCUUGUAAUGUCUGGGAGUUUGGGAUUCUUCUUUCCUCCAUGAGACCACUGGUAAUUCCUCCCCACAAGAAGAAGUCGGAUAAUCUGAACUUGGGUCUGUAGGUGCUUUAACAUGACAGGACAUUCUGCCCCUUGAGCCCCUGGUUACUCUCUUGUGCCUAGAAUCCCCAUCUGGUGGCCAAGGCUAAUCACUAAGUGCCAAAAUCAAAUAAUUAUGGGAGGUUGCAAGGAAAUAUGAUGAUUCAUUUAUUCAUCCUGUCCCUGUAAGUGACUUCAUUGAAAGCAAUUGAUUCCCCCUCCCUUUUUUUAAAAAAAAAUCUGUCUCCUGAAAAGCAAAUAAAAGAUAAACCGAAUCUAGGACAAGAAACUGAAGCCCUUGGAAAGAGGGGAAAACAGAUGACAAUAUUGCUCAAAACGUGGCAAUAUUGUAAUCCCCAGGUUUGUGGCAUGGCAACUUUUAUAAGCCCUGGUGAGUGGAGUCCGGACUUGCGGGAGCUGCAGUCCAAACGAUCUAGCGUGCAGCGGAUUGCGUGCCCCGGGCUGAAGGGUACAGUAAAGCCCGAAACUUCCUUUGGACUCGUCCCGCUUUUCUUGGGGCUGACCCAGUGCGCGAUCUCCGCCCGCGCGGCAGAGCAGCUGCCUCCCCACUCAGAUGGACAAAGCUUUCCUUGCACUCAAGGAAGUUGGCGCAGGACUCGUCCCCGGACUCUUCCCGGCGGUCUUCUUAGGCUGGUCGGCCAGCCCUCUCUCCCCUCUCCCCCGCCGCCCGUUCCCUCUCCUGCUUGAGCCCCGCUUUUAAGCAGCGCCGACCCUCCCGCUCCCGUCCCUCCCGCUCCCUGGAA